AUUGAACGCUGGCGGCAUGCCUUACACAUGCAAGUCGAACGGCAGCACGGGUGCUUGCACCUGGUGGCGAGUGGCGAACGGGUGAGUAAUACAUCGGAACAUGUCCUGUAGUGGGGGAUAGCCCGUCGAAAGCCGGAUUAAUACCGCAUACGAUCUACGGAUGAAAGCGGGGGACCUUCGGGCCUCGCGCUAUGGGGUUGGCCGAUGGCUGAUUAGCUAGUUGGUGGGGUAAAGGCCUACCAAGGCGACGAUCAGUAGCUGGUCUGAGAGGACGACCAGCCACACUGGGACUGAGACACGGCCCAGACUCCUACGGGAGGCAGCAGUGGGGAAUUUUGGACAAUGGGCGAAAGCCUGAUCCAGCAAUGCCGCGUGUGUGAAGAAGGCCUUCGGGUUGUAAAGCACUUUUGUCCGGAAAGAAAUCCUUGGCCCUAAUACGGUCGGGGGAUGACGGUACCGGAAGAAUAAGCACCGGCUAACUACGUG
rnacentral:rRNA from 1 species